GGAUUUUGUGGUUUUGCUGUUGGGAGAGUUUUGAUUUCAUUUAAUAGGAUUUGUGUUUCAGUUAUUAUAUAUAAUGAACCAUAUAAGUCAUGCCCUUUUAUGAUACAAAAUUUGGCUGAUUUGCAGUCACAUCUACAUGAUAAUAACACUCAGUGUUCCAGGACAAGGCUAUUCAAAUGUAAUAGUUGUGGGAAUUGAAUCAAUCCCUUAUCUGACUUGGUUUUUUUAUUUUAAAUCCAUAUAAUAUUUCCUUGCAUUCUCUUUGUGAAGGCUUGUAAACAAAGUUUAAAGAAAGAAAUCAUCACUUAUCUCCAAAUUAAUGGCACCGACCUGAGUACUUCUGCGGAUGGAUGAUUCUGAUAAGAUCAAGAUGUUAGUGGAUUGUUAUGCUUAUGGAGGAGGGUGGAAAAUUGUGAAAAGAUCAUGACGUUGGUGGAUUGUUGUGCUUGUAGAGAAGACAAUAUUGUAUACUUUGUGUGUAUGUGUCCAUAUCUUAGGAGGACAAUAUUUAACAGUGAUGAGCUCUGUGGAAGAACCUGAGCAUCUCUCUCUUCAAGAAUCUGAACCAUCAGACUCACCUAGCACUCGUCUUCUUGUUACAAAACAUCUGAACCACCUAGCAAGAGGCAUCACCCCUCUAGUCAUCAAAAUUUUGAGCCUCCUUUGUCCAUAAAUUUCUCCAUGCUCUUUAAAUUUAUGAGAGGAUUGAUAUCACAUUAUUCUCUUUCCUUGCUCUCUAACUUCGUGUUCCAUUUUUGUUACCUGUCAUAUGCUUAGUAGAGCACUUCAGUGUCAUUAUUUUUAUCAAUCACAACGAUUUUCAAACUGGGUAAACCUGUAUGGAACAGAUGCUUUUUGGUGGCUGCUAGGGCUUGCUAAUAUGCCAUUGUCAUUCUUUAGUGGCUUUCUAUCAUAUAGCAUAUUGCUCCUUAAAAGUCUGAUACUAUGAACAUUGCUCCUUUAGGUCUGCUGUCAAAUUUGCAGCAAACCCGGUUCAUCUUUCUAAUUUUUUUUCAACUACUUCUUGACCAAACUUUAUUAUAUUUUGCUUGCAGGAUCACUGCCUUUGAUAACACAUGGGCCUUUUUUUGUAUCCACGACACCUAGGCUGGUUGUCUUUUUUUGCAGAACUUUCAUGGCUUCACCCCCUACUCAAACAAUUUACUGCUUCACUCCCUUGCGAUGCCACUGCUAUAUUCCACUUCUUUUUGUUAGUAUACUUCCUUUUUGUUGUGGAUUGAUAGAUUAAUGUGUAUUUUACAUUGAUGCAAGCUUUAUUAUUCCACGAUUCAUCUA